rnacentral:rRNA from 1 species
GUCUACGGCCAUACCACCCUGAAUGAACCCGAUCUAGUCUGAUCUCUUGGAAGCUAAGCAGGGUCGGACCUGGUAAGUAUUUGGAUGGGAGAAAUACAAAUGUGGCCCCAAACC